rnacentral:rRNA from 1 species
CAUUAAUGAAUUGUUGAUGGGGUUUGAUGCUGGCAGCCAGCUUUUGGAUGCAUGUGCUUGCCCUGACAAUCAUCUUCCAAACACCUGUGCACAUUUUUGAGGGAAUCCAGUUGAUUGCCGCUUUUGGUGAUUUUCUUGCACUCCCUUGAUUCAUUAUACGCUUUUAUCAAUGCUGAACGUGCUUUGUGCCGCAAGGCCUUUAAUAUAAUACAACUUUUAACAGCGGAUCUCUUGGCUCUCGCAUCGAUGAAAAACGCAUCGAAAUGCGAUAAGUAAUGUGAAUUGCAAAAUUCAGUGAAUCAUCGAAUCUUUGAACGCACCUUGCGCUCCCUGGUAUUCCGAGGAGCACGCCUGUUCGAGUGUCGCGAAAUUUCUCAAGCUUUGGGGGGAUGGCUUUGUCUUUGUCCCCCUUAGCCUUGGUUGUUGGGCUUUGCCGUAUCCUUCAUUUUGGGACGGCUGGUCUUAAAAGCAUUAACUGAUCCUCGUGUGGCACUGGUUCUACUCACCGUGAUAAUAGUCUGAUCGCUGAUGACAUCUUUUGGGAUGGCCAGUUCUCAUUUGGGUUGCUUCUAAACCUGGUUUUACAGAUUCUUCAAUCUGUGUUCCAUUUUAUC